rnacentral:rRNA from 1 species
AUGGGCAGCAAGUCGGAGCAGCGCCUGGACUACGUGCUGGUGCCUCUGGGCCUGGCGGUGAUGGUGGGGUACCACCUGUGGCUCCUCCUCCGCAUCCGGCGACGCCCGGCCACCACCGUCAUCGGUAUCAACGCCAUCAACCGCCGCAUCUGGGUGCGCCACAUCAUGGAGGACCCCUCGGGGAAGCACGCCGUGCUAGCGGUGCAGACGAUGCGCAACGCCAUCAUGGACUCCUCCGUGCUUGCCUCCGUCGCCAUCACCCUCAGCUCCCUCGUCGCAGCUCUCAUGGCGAGCGGCGCCGCCCACGGCCUCUUUUCCGGCACCGCCAGCUCCGCCCAGAACAACAGCAAGAACAACAUCGUGUUGGGCGCGGCGGGGGAGGCGGCGCUGUCCGUCAAGUUCCUGGACAUCCUCGUCUGCUUCCUGGUGGCGUUCCUCCUCAACGUGCAGUCCAUCCGGUACUACAGCCACACAGGCGUCCUCGUCAACGUGCCGCUCCAGGCGCACCGCCAUCACCGCCCCGGCCUCGCCAUCGACUACGUCACCUCCACACUCAACCGCGGCAGCUACUUCUGGUCGCUCGGCGUCCGCGCAUUCUACUUUUCAUGCCCGGUGUUCCUCUGGCUCUUCGGGCCCAUCCCCAUGUUCGCCGCAUGCGUCGCCAUGGUCUGCACGCUCUACUUCCUCGACGUCUACAAGGAGUGGGAUAGGGAGGAGGAGGGCGACGGGCUCGUCGCCGAGGAUGGCGAAGGUGACCGCGAGGAGGAAGGAGGGACGAAGAUGGCUACCAGUUCGGUCUGA